rnacentral:rRNA from 1 species
AUUGAACGCUGGCGGCAGGCCUAACACAUGCAAGUCGAACGAGUGGCGGACGGGUGAGUAAUGUCUGGGAAACUGCCCGCUGGAGGGGGAUAACUACUGGGAACGGUAGCUAAUACCGCAUACCAUCGGAUGUGCCCAGAUGGGAUUAGCUAGUAGGGGGGGUAAUGGCUCACCUAGGCGACGAUCCCUAGCUGGUCGGAGAGGAGGAACAGCCACACUGGAACUGAGACACGGUCCAGACUCCUACGGGAGGCAGAAGUGGGGAAUAUUGCACAAUGGGCGCAAGCCUGAUGCAGCCAUGCCGCGUGUGUGAAGAAGGCCUUCGGGGUGUAAAGCACUUUCAGCGGGGAGGCGUUACCCGCAGAAGAAGCACCGGCUAACUCCGUGCCAGCAGCCGCGGUAAUUC